rnacentral:tRNA from 1 species
ACCCCUGUAGCUCAAACGGUAAAGAAUCUGCCUGCCAUGCAGGAGACCAGGGUUCAAUUCCUGGCUUGGGAA